GGCCGCUUGGCCCAAUGGUUAAGGCGUCUGACUACGAUCGGGUGCGAUAUUAAGUGAUCAGGAGAUUCUGGGUUCGACUCCCAGGGUGGCCU